rnacentral:rRNA from 1 species
AGAGUUUGAUCAUGGCUCAGGACGAACGCUGGCGGCGUGCUUAACACAUGCAAGUCGAGCGGAAAGGCUCCUUCGGGGGUACUCGAGCGGCGAACGGGUGAGUAACACGUGAGUAAUCUGCCCUGUGCUCUGGGAUAGCCACCGGAAACGGUGAUUAAUACCGGAUAUGACCACUCCGCGCGUGUGGUGGUGGUGGAAAGUUUUUCGGCGCAGGAUGUGCUCGCGGCCUAUCAGCUUGUUGGUGAGGUAAUGGCUCACCAAGGCUUUGACGGGUAGCCGGCCUGAGAGGGUGACCGGUCACACUGGGACUGAGACACGGCCCAGACUCCUACGGGAGGCAGCAGUGGGGAAUAUUGGACAAUGGGCGGAAGCCUGAUCCAGCAACGCCGCGUGAGGGAUGACGGCCUUCGGGUUGUAAACCUCUUUCAGUACCGACGAAGCGUGAGUGACGGUAGGUACAGAAGAAGGACCGGCCAACUACGUGCCAGCAGCCGCGGUAAUAC